rnacentral:rRNA from 1 species
UACGUAGGGCGCAAGCGUUGUCCGGAAUUAUUGGGCGUAAAGAGCUCGUAGGCGGCUUGUCACGUCGGGUGUGAAAGCCCGGGGCUUAACCCCGGGUCUGCAUUCGAUACGGGCAGGCUAGAGUGUGGUAGGGGAGAUCGGAAUUCCUGGUGUAGCGGUGAAAUGCGCAGAUAUCAGGAGGAACACCGGUGGCGAAGGCGGAUCUCUGGGCCUUACCUGACGCUGAGGAGCGAAAGCGUGGGGAGCAAACAGG